UUAACCCCCAGAGUAGGAAAUCCUGGGCAGGUGCAAUAGUGAUUUGUGUGGGUGACAGCUCUUUACUUUGACAAUCCCGGCCUGAUUCAUGGUUCAAGAGCUUCUGCAUGGCCCAGGGUGAGAGGCUGCAGAGGCAGGGAAAGGCUGUCCUGGGAGGUCAGUGCUGCUAAGGGAUUGCAGGAUUUGCACUCUCAGCUCAAAGCAAUUUCUUUCAGCCACUGCAGUGUUUCAGGUGAUAGAUGGUUUGGAAAAUGUGAGCAAAGAAGAAUCCAAGAAAUGCAUUCCAGUGGUACUGCUUUUCUUCAUCAUUUCAUUCAGUUUGCCUGAUCCCAGAAGAGUAAAUUGUGUACAGGGAAAAUCAUCAUUGUUAAACCCUCCCCAGACAUUAGAGAAAAAUUGCCUUGGAAGAUCAGGAAUAUUUGAAAAUGGAGUUCUGUAUGAGUGGUGCUCCAGUUCUGGGACUGAUUACCUUUAAAGUCUUCUAUGAAGCUGAGCAUAUGGGUCCUUAUCCCAAGGUGGAGCUGUACAAUCAUGUCAAUUCAAAAGAGGAGUGCACUCCCUGGCCUUGUGGCUGUGAGACUGCCAUGGAUUUCCUACACCUCCUGAUUUCUGGAAAGGACUACAUACCCUGC